UCGAAUGAUGAGCUUUUAUAGAUGACGAGUCUGACUAUUCAGUUGAAGACACAACUAUUUUAAUACCAUUCAUGCAUUUCUGACU
rnacentral:ncRNA from 15 species